ACAGCACCAAAGCUCUACAGCUCCACAGCCCUACAGCACCACAGCCCUACAGCUCCAUAGCACCACAGCCCCACAGCACCAAAGCUCUACAGCUCCACAGCCCCGCAGCUCCACAACACUGCAGCACCACAGCUCCACAGUCCCACAGCCCCACAGCCCCACAGCACCGCAGGGUGGCUGAGCCUGGAGGGUGCCUCUGAAGAUCGCCCAGCCCAGCCCCCUGCCGAGCAGGAUACGUGUGACCACAGACAAGAAACCCAGCCAGCACGGGUGCGAGAUGACAUUGCCAAAAGUCCCCUAGUGCCUGUGCGAGGCCUUGGCUCACGGCUGCUCUCAGUUCCCGUGGGGGUGGCUGGGAGGAUGGCUGCUCUCUGGCCUGCGGUGCUCCCACGGCAGCCCAGGUUUUGUGAGGCUGAGCCCAACCAGGGCUCGAGAGCAGCUCUGCGAACAUGGCAACUGGCAAAGUGCUGCAAUCCUCGCUUGGGGUUGAAGUGCUGCACAACGUUCGUAAGAGAAAAUUAGCUCAGACUUUUAACUGAGAGGCAGCAGUGCCUGAAGUGCCUCAGUCGCUCUCGGAAAUGGUACUUCAGUUGUUUAAGAUAGUGCUGCUCGUCACUGGAUGAGGGAUAAUGAGCACUUUGGGGGCCAGAAACAGGCAGGGGGCUGAAGAGCUCCAUGUGCUGGAGACGGGAUUUCUUACCGUGAGGGCAAAGCCAGCAGGAUGGGGGCAUGUUCGAGAACAACGCUGCUGGAGCUCCGAAUGUGCUGCUUGCAGGGCAGCGCUAAGCCAACAAUGCUGGGCACCGGCUGCUCGAGAGCACAGUUCCUGUUUCCUUCUGGAAAAAGCCAGAGGAUGGGUAGGAACAGCCCGAGGUUGCACCCUUUCCUCCCGUCCUCGCACAGCCUCCGUGUCACCUGCGUGGACCCUGGGCCUGUCCCCAUCCUGUCCCCACCCAGCGGGGUGCAGACACCCACGAGCGCUGCUGCAGCGCCCAGCGCCCCGCGAACCCCAGCACGGCUCGUGUGUGGAUGCACAGCAUCCCACCCCUCACAAAACCGCCCGGAGGAUGCCCCUGGUGGCUUUUGGGCUUGCCAGGGCAGAGGAAGGCCGGCGAGGGGCCCGAGGAGCUGCUGGCAGGAGCCGGGGCUCACCGCAGGGGUAGGGAUGCUGGAAGCGGCGUUCACUUCUGCAGCAUGUGGAUCUGCCCUCAGCAGACCCGCCCCCAGCUACCUUUGUGUCAUUCAAGGCCCAGAGCAGUACGUCGGUGUGCCGAAUAGCCCAGCUACAAGAGCUCAAUUAACCAGAUUAACUCAGAUGCACCUCUACGCCAGCCUCCCCAAAGCCGGACCCUGGCCGGAGCUGCGUGCACCCUGGCGUUGUUGGGAUUUGGAGGCACGGUGGUGGGAGCAGCACCGUAACCCCGCGGGGCUGAGCCCCCUCCUUCCCUCCUGGCUUUGCGGAACAGAUCUGCUAAACACCAGAUCUGAGGUGGAUCCCAACUCAGAGGCGCGAGAUGUGGCAGCCGCGGUGCAGAGGAAGGUGCAAGAAAACACUGAAGAUGAAAGCUGGCGUGCCAAGGAGCAGCUUUGAGCACAUCCCCUUGUCCUAACGCUAUACGCAGUUGAGAUCUGAGCAGUCAGUUCUCAGACCCCUCAGCACACGU
ensembl:lncRNA